UGGCUCAGUGGUAGAGCACUUGCUUUGCAUGCCAGAGGCCCUGGGUUCGAUUCCUCAG
rnacentral:tRNA from 1 species